AUGUACUGGAAACACCUUUGCCAUGACUUUGUUUUAGAUCUCUCGAAAAACGCUCUUCAAAAUUCCUCUAAAAUUAAGCAAAUUGUCGAAUACAAUUGAAAGUCAAUUCCAAGUUCUUGCCACCCACCCACUUGGCCUGCACUCAUUUGCCUGCAGGGGUGGUGGAGGUGGUUGGGUGGCCAUUAAACCACCUGCAAGCCAGCCAGGCUUGGUUCUUGGUUCCCCCGGGGGCGGCCCAGCACGCUAAUGCGUCAAAAUCCUUCAACUUUUCGCAGCAUUUGCGCACAAUGCGGUGGAGGCGUGGCUGCUGGAGAGCCUUUCAACGUAAACAGAAACAAAAAGAAGGCAGAACAGCAGCCAGAAAAAGUGAGAUAGAGAGAGAGACUGACAAAAGCAUUUGAAUUGACAAGUGCCAUCAAAAUAGAAGCGGAAUUAAAUUUAUCAUGCCAAGUGGUGGUGGUGGCAGGCUCAAGGAUGCUCUCUCGAGGGGGUGGAACAGCCAACAACCAGCAACAAAGCAAACUCCGGCGUCAUCGAUCAACUGGAGCGUGAGACAGUUCCGCCCGGAAGGAAGACGAACUUUUAAAUAUUGAAUAAUAUGUUUUCUUUAUUCUCUCACCACUCAGACAGAAUCUGACAAACCUUGAGCCAUAAUGAUGGGCCGAAUGAUGAGCGAGAAGUGCUGCAGAAAUGCUCUGAUGGAUGUGUCCAGAGAUGACUGAAAAUGUUGUGCAAGGUUGCUGUGUGGCUUCUGGCAUAGAGAAAACAUAAUGGAAUAUGCCACAUUAGCUUCCAUUUUCGUAACAAAACAUUUUGAAUGUGAUUUAAUUUUAAUUAUUUAAUUAGAACUGAGCUCCGACACGCUUCCUGCAGCUCAGAUUACACUGCGCGACACGUGACUACGGCAAAGCCGUAUUGGCAUGCCAUGAAGCCUCAGCGUCGUGUUAACUAUAAUCCGCUUAGCGUUCAUAAUUUCUGCUAAUAGGAAGAGCCCAAGAACAGUUGACACGCCAUGUCACCCCUGAGAUUUUGCGUGACUCUCAGCGGGUUCCAAUUAUUCCCACACGUAGCUGCCGGUGCUCGGUGUUAGGUGGCUGCCAAAUCGAUUUGAAAUAUGGCCGUGGCAUGGGACGGGGCUUUCAAUGUAAACAUCGCGCGAAAAGUGGACAAAUUGUUCAACUAAAAACGACAGCAAUCAAACAAAAUUGAAUAUCAGCGGAAGCGCAAACGGAAACGGAAGCGCCAAAAAAGCGACAAUGAAAACUGCACUGAGAAUGGCAUUGGCAAUGCCGGAAAAAAAACCCCCAGCAAACUCCAGCCAUGUCAGCGUGAAUUGUGUUGUGCCGCAUCCAUUUGGGUAGCGGAUUGGGUUUGGGGUGGGGUGGCUGUACGGCUCUACACGGCUACAAUUGUUACGUGUCAAUAACUGCAAUAAAAAAUCGUGGCAGCGGGUGCCGAUUCGGGUCGCUCCUGGUGGCCACUCCACCACUCCAGGCUGCGCCUCAAUAACUCUGCAACUCAAAUCAAAAUCAACGUUGCAUUUCAAUUGCGAAAUUGCCAACUGCCAGGCGUUCAUCAAUCGCCGCAGGCACACAGGUCCACGGAUCCACAGUCCAUCCUCCCAGUCCAGUCCAGGCCGAGUCCGAGUCCGAGUCAUUCAGAUUUCCAAUUUCGCCGACUUGUGUGCCCGUGCGAAUAUUAAAAUAAAUGUCCU
rnacentral:lncRNA from 1 species